AUUGAACGCUGGCGGCAUGCCUUACACAUGCAAGUCGAACGGCAGCACGGGGGCAACCCUGGUGGCGAGUGGCGGACGGGUGAGUAAUGCAUCGGAACGUGCCCUGAAGUGGGGGAUAACGCAGCGAAAGCUACGCUAAUACCGCAUAUUCUGUGAGCAGGAAAGCAGGGGAUCGCAAGACCUUGCGCUUUGGGAGCGGCCGAUGUCGGAUUAGCUAGUUGGUGGGGUAAAGGCCUACCAAGGCGACGAUCCGUAGCGGGUCUGAGAGGAUGAUCCGCCACACUGGGACUGAGACACGGCCCAGACUCCUACGGGAGGCAGCAGUGGGGAAUUUUGGACAAUGGGCGAAAGCCUGAUCCAGCCAUGCCGCGUGAGUGAA
rnacentral:rRNA from 1 species